AACGCACCUUGCACCCUUUGGUAUUCCAAAGGGUAUGCCUGUUUGAGUGUCAUUAAUCCCUCAAUCACAACAAGCUUGUGUUUGUGCAUUGGAUAUUGAAGGUUGCUGGCCCGAAACCGUGGUUAGCUCCUUUUAAAUGCAUUAGUUGAACUCUUGCAAAUUCAGCUUCAGCUUCAGUUUGAUAAAGAUUAUUUUUUGUCUAUGCUGCUGCCGAGGGAAAAACUGUGUUUGUCAGUUCAGCUUUCCAAACUGUCCUUAGGACUAUCUUUUAAAGAUAAAAAAAACUUUGACCAUUUGACCUCAAAUCAGGUAGGACUACCCGCUGAACUUAA
rnacentral:misc_RNA from 1 species